GAAAAAAGGCUCUCAACUGUUUGCGAGACAGUGAUGGAUAAAUGUUUGGCCCCAGCCACGGGUGGAGAAGGAUGCGACAACAUGACCAUGAUCUUGGUACAAUUCAAGAAACCUUCCACGAUCUCCACAGUGAUCAAGGAGCAACCACUGGCCUCUAAUCAAUAUUCUGAGUGUAACGGAAGCACAGUAACAUCUAACGAUAUGCCAUAGUAGGAUCUCACUAUAAUGAUAAUGCAGCUAAAAAAGCCUGAAACCAAUGGCAACACUUAUCAACUCCUACACAGGAAGAGUCAUGCUGUCGCUGUAAGCUUUUGAAGUUUUGAUAGAUAAAAAGGUAGCGUUUUAGAUAAUAUCUGAAGAUCUGUUCUGUAUAGGUUCAAAUAGGCCAAUAAUGUACACGGGACAAAAAUGUUUUCAGUUUAGUGGAAUUGAUGAGUGUAGCAUUUUCCCUGUUGUAGAGAGAAGAACCAUUAGUUGAAAUACUUAAAUGUGGAUUUUGAUUGUUUGCUCUGCGGAGAACGCCAAUACACAGUAAGAUAUCAUGCUGUUUUUGCAAUAACUUUUGUACUGGGAAGUGAGUUGUGUCUUUUGUUCCAAUUAACUACGAACUCUUUUGGUAUGGAGAUUGUAAUUUGGUCAUGUCAAAUCUAACUAGCAC
rnacentral:lncRNA from 1 species